rnacentral:rRNA from 1 species
CUGAUCCCUUCCCGAACUCAGUAGUGAAACGACGCAUCGCCGAUGGUAGUGUGGGGUUUCCCCAUGUGAGAGUAGGUCAUCGUCAAGC